GUCUUGGUAGCUCAAUCGGUAGAGCACGAGACUCUUAAUCUCAAGGUCAUAGGUUCAAGUCCUACCUUGGGCA